rnacentral:rRNA from 1 species
UACGAAGGGGGCUAGCGUUGCUCGGAAUCACUGGGCGUAAAGGGCGCGUAGGCGGCCCACUAAGUCAGACGUGAAAUCCCCCGGCUUAACCUGGGAACUGCGUCUGAUACUGGAGGGCUCGAGUAUGGGAGAGGGAUGUAGAAUUCCAGGUGUAGCGGUGAAAUGCGUAGAUAUCUGGAGGAAUACCGGUGGCGAAGGCGGCAUCCUGGACCAUUACUGACGCUGAGGCGCGAAAGCUAGGGGAGCAAACGGG